rnacentral:siRNA from 1 species
GGAAUCCUCGACUCCAACAUGU